rnacentral:rRNA from 1 species
AUUGAACGCUGGCGGCAUGCCUUACACAUGCAAGUCGAACGGUAACGGGCCUUCGGGUGCCGACGAGUGGCGAACGGGUGAGUAAUGUAUCGGAACGUACCUUUCAGUGGGGGAUAACGUAGCGAAAGUUGCGCUAAUACCGCAUAUUCUGUGCGCAGGAAAGCAGGGGAUCGCAAGACCUUGCGCUGAUUGAGCGGCCGAUAUCAGAUUAGCUAGUUGGUGGGGUAAAGGCCUACCAAGGCGACGAUCUGUAGCGGGUCUGAGAGGAUGAUCCGCCACACUGGAACUGAGACACGGUCCAGACUCCUACGGGAGGCAGCAGUGGGGAAUUUUGGACAAUGGGGGCAACCCUGAUCCAGCCAUGCCGCGUGCAGGAAGAAGGCCUUCGGGUUGUAAACUGCUUUUGUACGGAACGAAAAGACUCUGGUUAAUACCUGGGGUCCAUGACGGCACCGUAAGAAUAAGCACCGGCUAACUACGUGCCAGCAGCCGCCGUAAUAC